CAGAAAUUUAUAGAUUCUGGGGGGUACACUAGCAAUGAAGAGGUGGGGAAGACUUUUUUUUUCUUUUCUCAGUUUUGGACUUUUCUUUGCAGAGACUUAAGGGAUGAAGGACAACAUUCUACAUAAUUGUUGAGAGAAGGAAUUUCUAUUUCUACAUCAAAAUAAACAUAUUUUGCAAUCCCUGACAGAGCUGUCUCUAUGGGUAGAAAUAGGACCCAGGGCCCACCUCCAGGUUGGUCACUAAAAUCCUCAAGGACACGACUGCGUACCUGUCCCUGUUCUUCAGCCCUGUUUAAUGGGAUUAAAUAAAGAAUCAUUUUUCAUUUUGAAAAUACUGAUACCAAAAUAAGAAAGCUUAAAAUUUACAUCCACUGUUCCAGAAGGUUUGAGUUUAGUUUAAUCUAUAGAACACAACACAUUUCAUUGCAAGACACUUAGUAUAGAGGAAAAAUGA
rnacentral:lncRNA from 1 species